CCGUAGUCGUCGAGAGUAGUUUCGAGUCCUAGGCUCGAGGACGAACGCUGGCGGCGCGCUUAACACAUGCAAAGUCGAGCGAUGAAAUCUUGACAGAUCCCUUCGGGGUGAAGAUAAGAUGGAUUAGCGGCGGACGGGUGAGUAACACGUGAGUAACCUGCCUUAGACAUUGGGAUAGCCUCGGGAAACCGGGAUUAAUACCAAAUGAAAUCAUAGGUGCCCAUGCACUAAUGAUCAAAACUCCGGUGGUCUAAGAUGGACUCGCGUCCCAUUAGCUAGUUGGUGAGGUAACGGCCCACCAAGGCGACGAUGGGUAGCCGGCCUGAGAGGGUGAACGGCCACAUUGGAACUGAGAAACGGUCCAAACUCCUACGGGAGGCAGCAGUGGGGAAUAUUGCACAAUGGAGGGAACUCUGAUGCAGCGACGCCGCGUGAACGAUGAAGGCUUUCGAGUCGUAAAGUUCUUUUAUAUGGGAAGAUAAUGACGGUACCAUAAGAAAAAGCCCCGGCUAACUACGUG
rnacentral:rRNA from 1 species